rnacentral:rRNA from 1 species
AAUCAACGCUGGCGGCGUGCCUCAGACAUGCAAGUCGAACGAUUAAACUUUCCUUCGGGAAAGAUAUAAAGUGGCGCACGGGUGAGUAACACGUAGGUAAUGUACCUUUGGGUGGGGAAUAACCAUCGGAAACGAUGGCUAAUACCGCAUAAUGCAGCGGCAUCGCAAGAUGACAGUUGUUAAAGAUUUAUCGCCUAAAGAGCAGCCUGCGGCAGAUUAGGAGUUGGUAAGGUAAUGGCUUACCAAGCCUGCGAUCUGUAACCGACCUGAGAGGGUGGUCGGUCACACUGACACUGAAUAACGGGUCAGACUCCUACGGGAGGCAGCAGUCGGGAAUUUUGGGCAAUGGGCGAAAGCCUGACCCAGCAACGCCGCGUGAAGGACGAAGUCUUUCGGGUA